rnacentral:tRNA from 1 species
GCCACCAUACCUCAGAGGUAGAGCACUGGUUUCGUAAACCAAAGGUUCGGGUCCGACUCCCGAUGGUGGCU